UACAGAGGGGGCAAGCGUUGUUCGGAAUUACUGGGCGUAAAGGGUUAGCAGGCGGCUAACUAAGUCAGACGUGAAAUCCCUCAGCUUAACUGGGGAACUGCGUCUGAGACUGAUUGGCUCGAGGACAGGAGAGGAACGCGGAAUUCCAGGUGUAGCGGUGAAAUGCGUAGAUAUCUGGAGGAACACCGGUGGCGAAGGCGGCGUUCUGGACUGUUUCUGACACUGAAUAACGAAAGCCAGGGGAGCAAACGGG
rnacentral:rRNA from 1 species